AUUGAACGCUGGCGGCAGGCCUAACACAUGCAAGUCGAGCGAGCGGCGGACGGGUGAGUAAUGUCUGGGAAACUGCCCGAUAGAGGGGGAUAACUACUGGAAACGGUGGCUAAUACCGCAUACUAUCGGAUGAACCCAGAUGGGAUUAGCUAGUAGGUGGGGUAAAGGCUCACCUAGGCGACGAUCCCUAGCUGGUCUGAGAGGAUGAACAGCCACACUGGGACUGAGAACCUGCCCAGACUCCUACGGGAGGCAGCAGUGGGGAAUAUUGCACAAUGGGCGCAAGCCUGAUGCAGCCAUGCCGCGUGUAUGAAGAAGGCCUUAGGGUUGUAAAGUACUUUCAGCGGGGAGGCGUUACCCGCAGAAGAAGCACCGGCUAACUCCGUGCCAGCAGCCGCGGUAAUAC
rnacentral:rRNA from 1 species